rnacentral:lncRNA from 1 species
GCAGAUUCCUCCGGGCAGCAGGCUCCUGACUACAGGUCCAUUCUGAGCAUUAGUGACGAGGCAGCCAGGGCACAAGCCCUGAACGAGCACCUCAGCACGCGUAGCUAUGUCCAGGGGUACUCACUGUCCCAGGCAGACGUGGACGCGUUCAGGCAGCUCUCGGCCCCGCCCGCUGACCCCCAGCUCUUCCACGUGGCUCGGUGGUUCAGGCACAUAGAAGCGCUCCUGGGUAGCCCCUGUGGCAAAGGCCAGCCCUGCAGGCUCCAAGCAAAGAGGAAGCAGAGCCACGUUGCUGUGUAACAGAAUGGACCAUGGAUAGCACUAAUGGAGUUGCUGUGCCCUCCCCAGGUUCCAAAUCCCCUCAUCACCCAGGCUGCGCAAGAGGCUGCCAGGGUCUGCUUGUGCCAGGAAUGAUGGGCAUUAUGUCAGGCGACCCUCACUCAAGCUUGCUGUACACUGAGCAGGGGCUGAAGGGGGAGGUGGGAGCUGGAGUCUGGGACUGCUAGAGCAUCCAGUGACCUCGAGUGGGUCCAAGGCGCCAUGGAGUCCAGUGUAGUGUCCUCGCCCAUGUCCCUGGGAUGACAGUAGCUGUGGAUCUCCCUCCAUGUAGCUGUGACAAUCAGAGCUGCUUCCCCCACUGAGUGGGAACGCCCUCUCUUUCCAUGGCUCAUACUCCCCAAGCAUGCACCUUCCUUGCUGGCACAGUGGGCCAUGUGCCCCUCCUCCUGCUCGCCCUUCCACCUCUGUUGGACAUCCCAGCAGCAUCAGAUGUGCCUGUGUCUGGCCCUCAGUGUGCCCGCCUGUUACCAGCUCCUCCCAUGUGCCUUCUGUGUCCUGUCUCCAAGAUCCUCUCAGACAUGGAAAGACUCUGCUUGGCCCGGCGCGGUGGCUCACUCCUGUAAUCCCAGCACUUUGGGAGGCCAAGGCGGGCGGAUCACGAGGUCAGGAGAUUGAGACCAUGCUCGCUAAGUCG